rnacentral:rRNA from 1 species
GAGCCCGCACAAGCAGUGGAGUAUGUUGUUUAAUUCGAAGCAACGCGAAGAACCUUACCAGGUCUUGACAUCUAAUGAAGUCGGCGUAAUGGCUGAUGUGCCCUUCGGGGAGCAUUAAGACAGGUAGUGCAUGGUUGUCGUCAGCUCGUGUCGUGAGAUGUUCGGUUAAGUCCGGCAACGAGCACAACCCUUGCGUAUAGUUGCUCGCCAAUUUAUUGGAAGCACUCUAUACGGACUGCCGUUGACAAAACGGAGGAAGGCGGGGAUGAUGUCAAAUCAUCAUGCUCUUUAUGAUCUGGGCCACAAACGUACUACAAUGGCGCGAACAAAGCGGAGCAAAGAGGCGACUCGGAGCAAAUCGCAAAACGCGUCCCAGUUCGGACUGCAGGCUGCAACUCGCCUGCACGAAGUUGGAAUUGCUAGUAAUCGCGGGUCAGCAUACCG